UGGGGAAUAUUGCACAAUGGGGGAAACCCUGAUGCAGCGACGCCGCGUGAGCGAUGAAGGCUUUCGAGUCGUAAAGCUCUGUCCUAUGGGAAGAUAAUGACGGUACCAUAGAAGAAAGCCCCGGCUAAUUACGUGCCAGCAGCCGCGGUAAUACGUAAGGGGCGAGCGUUGUCCGGAAUUAUUGGGCGUAAAGAGUGCGUAGGCGGCAAAUUAAGUCAGAUGUGAAAACUAAGGGCUCAACCCAUAGAUUGCAUCUGAAACUGAUAUGCUUGAGGCAAGGAGAGGAAAGUGGAAUUCCUAGUGUAGCGGUGGAAUGCGUAGAUAUUAGGAGGAAUACCGGUGGCGAAGGCGACUUUCUGGACUUGAACUGACGCUGAGGCACGAAAGCGUGGGGAGCAAACAGG
rnacentral:rRNA from 1 species